GAGCUUAAGGGAUAUCUAAGGAAUGAAUUUGGGAUUUUCAGUCAGUAUUAAGGAAAACCUCUUCCGAAGCUGUGGCAGCAAGAAUAAAUAGCUUAAAAGAAGUUAACAAGCUUUGAAUAGAAUCGAACCGUUAAGCUUUUUACAACUGAAUGUUUAUUUUUGCUCUGCAGAAGCAGUGAUAUGUAUUUAGUGAGGUGUUUUGGAUAUCUCUGAGCUUUAAAGCUGAAGUUCUGCAUGGUGGUGUGUUUGCUGCAGCUGAGGCUGGAGAACCGAUCUGGACUAACACAAACGGGUUUAUCUCUGCCAGGAUGCUUUGCACUCAGGUGAGUUCCCUGCUCAGGUUCAGCACCUGCUGCAGAAACAGCUCUACCAGCUCGAGGAC
rnacentral:lncRNA from 1 species